CACAAUACUCCACUGUACUCCGUUCAGCUGUUUACACCGAGUGCCUCCAAUAUGGCCGCCCAUCCGGUUUACUGCCCAGAACGUGACGUCGGUGAAAACCCUCUACUGUAAGUGUCGUCA